GACGAACGCUGGCGGCGUGCCUAAUACAUGCAAGUCGAGCGGACUAAUGGGAGCUUGCUCCCGUUAGUUAGCGGCGGACGGGUGAGUAACACGUGGGCAACCUACCUGUAAGACUGGGAUAACUUCGGGAAACCGGAGCUAAUACCGGAUGAUAUAAAGGAACUCCUGUUCCUUUAUUGAAAGAUGGCUUCGGCUAUCACUUACAGAUGGGCCCGCGGCGCAUUAGCUAGUUGGUGAGGUAACGGCUCACCAAGGCGACGAUGCGUAGCCGACCUGAGAGGGUGAUCGGCCACACUGGGACUGAGACACGGCCCAGACUCCUACGGGAGGCAGCAGUAGGGAAUCUUCCGCAAUGGACGAAAGUCUGACGGAGCAACGCCGCGUGAGCGAUGAAGGCCUUCGGGUCGUAAAGCUCUGUUGUUAGGGAAGAAUAAGUGCUAGUUGAAUAAGCUGGCACCUUGACGGUACCUAACCAGAAAGCCACGGCUAACUACGUGCCAGCCGCCGCCGUAA
rnacentral:rRNA from 1 species